GUAGUCUGCAACCCGACUACAUGAAGCUGGAAUCGCUAGUAAUCGCGGAUCAGAAUGCCGCGGUGAAUACGUUCCCGGGUCUUGUACACACCGCCCGUCACACCAUGGGAGUCGGAAAUGCCCGAAGUCUGUGACCCAACCAUUAAGGAGGGAGCAGCCGAAGGCAGGUCGGAUGACUGGGGUGAAGUCGUAACAAGGUAUC
rnacentral:rRNA from 1 species